GAAAAUGUUUGUUGAACAAUGCGAUCCCUACACUAUUUCCGACUCUUAAAAGAAAAGUUGUGGAAGAAGAGGAUGAUAGUAAAACUAAUAUUUCACAUCAAUCUUUAAAGAAGAUGUGAUUUUGUCAGAUGUAACAAUUCCUCCUUUCAAGCCUCCUUCCAAUUUGACCUUACCUCAGAUGACCUUACAGCAACCUUUAUUGGAGCCUUCUUUUGAUGUGGCCACUAAUAUAAAUAUAUCUUCUUCGUCUUUGAUUGCACCUAUGAUGAUGACCCUCGCAGCCUUCCUUAAAGCCUUCUUGUGUGACUAGUG